UACAUGCGUAAGUAAUAAUUAUGUUUUUAUAUUAUAUUAUAUUAUUAUAUUAUUAUAUAUAUAUGACAAAGAAAGAAAGAAAAGAAACAGAGAGCAAAACAAAACAGAGAAGGGAGAAAGAAAGAAACAGAGAGCAAAACGAAACAGAGAAGGAAGGAAGGAAAGAAAGAAAGAAAGAAAAGAAAAGAAAAAGGAAAAUUUGGGGUUUUAAGGUUCAAAGUAAUUUGGUAAGUCAAUUUAAUCCCAUUUUCUCUUAAUUUUGAUAUUUUUUUUGAAAUCCUAGAACAAAAUACUACUUGAUUAAGUUGAAAUUUUGGAAGUUAGUAGAUUAUUAAGCAUGGUUCAUGUUGAAUAAAUUGUUAAAUUAGGGAUGUAUUUGAUAGAAAUUUUGAUUGGAAUUGAAUAAAGGAUUGAAUUGUAAACUAAACUAUAAGUUUUGAAUUUUAGGGAUUAAUUUGAAAUAAAUUCGGAAUUAUGAAAACAUGAUAAAAAUUAAAUAGUUAAAUAUGAGUUUAGCAAGAAAUUGGGUAGAAUAAGGGUAUGAAUUGAGAAAGAAAAAUAUAUAGGUUUAGUUAGGGGUUAAAUUGAUUUAAUUUCAAGUUAGAAGUUAGUAAAGAACGUAAUUGUAAAAUAAAAUAUAAGUUUUGAAUCGAUAGGGAUUAAAUUGAAAGAAUCCCGAAAUUAGGGAUUUAUGGUGAAAUUGAGGAAUUAAAUUGACUUUAUAGUAAGAAUUAAGAGAGAAUAUAGAGUUAGAAUGCAAAAAUAAAAUUAGUAUUGAUAAGGGAUUAAAUUAGAAUUUGAUGUUGCCAUAGAAGGGAAAAAUGUUCAGAAUGUUAUAAAACAUAAGAAUAAGAGAUGAAGUUUAAUUUCCGAGCCUUGGGGCAAAAAUGUAAUUAUGUAAAAGUUUAGGGGCAAAAUUGUAAUUUUGAAAAAGUUAGAGUCGAGGACUAUUUUGAUGAAUGUGAUUAUUAAAUAAGUUAAAUUUACUAUUUUAGAUCAAGAAGUACGAAACUCAAGGUUAGACAAAGGGAAGAAUAAAGUUGAAGACUAAGUUGGUGAAUUUGGCUAUAAUUGGUACCGAGGUAAGUUUACGGUAAAUAAAUGCAAUAUUUCAAUAUUUAUUAUUAAUGCUGUUAAUUUCCAGCAAUUAUGAAUUUAUUUGAUGAUGAUCCAAGCAUGAAAUGAUAGAGAAUUAAAAUUUAAAAGUCCCGUUGAUACAUAAGGAUGGUACUGGAUACGAAUGUCAUGACAUUUGGGUAAAGAUAUCCCAUGUAAGAUCAUGUCUGGGACAUGGCAUUGGCAUCCUUAAGAUCAUGAGAGGUCCCCUGUAAGACCAUGUCUGGGACAUGGCAUGGGCACCGAGACGAGAGGUCCCAUGUAAGACCAUGUCUGGGACAUGGCGUUGGCACCGAGAUGAGAGGUCCCCUAUAAGACCAUGUCUGGGACAUGGCAUGGGCACCAUCACGAGAACAUCCCAUGUAAGACCAUGUCUGGGACAUGGCUUUGGCAUGUUAUUAUCAGAAGAGACCCGAGUAUCCUUAUUAUUCCAAUGUAGUUCAACGGGCUUGUAAACGAAUCAUGUUCAUGAAAGUUCAGUUUAAAGCAUAAAUGGCAAGCUCAGGUAAGUUGUAAGACUUAAGAACUUAUUAUACUAUCAAUUGAUGUUCAACGAUGCAGCAAGGAUUGAGUAAGUUAUGCACACAAAUAUUCUAAGUAAACAAGUAAGAGAACUAGUAUGAGAUUAACUAAAGAGUAAACUAGAGAUAUAGACAUUGAGUUUAAUUAUUUAAGUUAAAUAUUGUUAUUUAUUUGCUAGUAAACUUACUAAGCUUUAUGCUUACUUCUUUUAUUUCUUUCUCUUAUAGUAUUGCAAAGCUACUUCAAGGAUCCUAAAGAAGUCGGAGAUCGUCCACACUAUCAACUACAACUGCUCGGUAUUUUAUAUCGAAACACGUUUAAGUUAUGGCAUGUAUAGGAAUUUAGUUAUUUUGUAUGUUUGUAGUGAUGAUUUUGCUAAUGAGUGAUGUGUAAGUAUUUGAUGAUGUAUGGUUAUUAAAAUGAUUAAGGAUGAAGGUGUUUGUUGUUAUGAAAUAUUAGGUGAUAAAUUAUGCAUGGAAAUCAUGAAAGGAUAAAAUUUUGCAAAGAAACAGAAUUCAGGCAGCACAGUGACGUGAAUUUGAAAAAUCACCCAAGAUAGUAUAAAAUGAAUUAGAGGGUGAAUGAUAUAUGGAAUUAAAGCUUGUUGAGUCUAUUUUCAUGGAAAAAUAACGGUGUAGAAAAAAAGAAAUUUAUAUUUUAAGAUAUGUGAAUUUUAGUAAGAUAGGAUCAGAACUGUUUUUGGAGUCCCCUGUUCUGAGUUUAGAAAAUAAUAAAAAAUUGUACAAAAAUGGUUAUGAGUUGAAAUUUACAUGCUUAGAUUCCUUAAUUAGUCUAUUUUCUAUAGAAACAAGUAAGAACUUCAUAUGAAAAUCCUAUAGUGAGAAAACUUAUUUUUAGUGACUAGAGGUCAGGGCAGUCUGGUGGUGACACAGGGGAGACUUUAACUAAUAAACUGUACUAAUUUGCUGAACCAAAAAUUCUAAAAAUUUUAUGGUGAGUAGAUAUAUGAGUCUAGUUUCAGGGAAAAUUUACGGGAUUAAAUUUCGAGUUCUGUAGCUCAAGUUAUAAUUAAUUUAGUAACUGCUGCGCGAUUAGACAGAUUUGCUGCGAAUAAUGAAAUAAAUUUUCAAACCUAGUUUUUAUGCUCCGAAUUGGUAAGAUAAGCUAAGUAAUGCCUCGUGCUCGACUCCGGAAACGGUCUCGGGUAAGGGGUGUUACACAUGCGCAUAUGUAAUUAUCGCAUGUGCGAAUGUAUGAAUUGAAUACACAACUUAUAUUAAUGAUGUGUACAGAUUGGAACGCAUGCACAAUGUAUGAAUAUCUGAACUUCUACCCGUCCCAAAUGAGAGUAUGUAGUCGCCAGUAUCCAGUGCCUCAUUCGAGUUGGCCCCGAAUAUGAACUUGCAUCGCAUCCCAAAAGGUCAUCCGGUUUCUACUCGAAUACGUACCAAUAUGAAUGUUCAGGAAAAAGACAAUCAACAAAGGUCAUAUAAGUACUAUAGAAACCCAAGGCAUACGAAGGUAACAUGUUCUAUAUCGAGAUACAUUGAAACCUCAACGUCACUAACAUUCUUUUUUUUGUAUAGAAAUUGAUUACAAUGCUUUUUCUUUUUUCUUUUUUACAAAAUAUGUUCAUUCAUUUUUCUUAUACUUAUUUGUAAUUCCCACCACCUACUAAUAUUAAUAUAGUGGGAAAAUUGCUAAUUUAAGCACUACAUCAAGUACCAAUUACAAAUUCUCUGGCGAUUUAACUUUUACCAUUUUUAUUAUUUAGUUUUUGUACCUUAACUAUCAUUAGUUCGAAAAAAG
rnacentral:lncRNA from 1 species